rnacentral:lncRNA from 10 species
CAGGGAGGUCACUCAGAGGCAAUGGCAAAGGGAGGCUCUGGGGCCCAGCACACUUCCUGCCUGGCUGCCUGAGUUCAUCCCCUCAGCGUCCUCUGCUAUGCUGUGUCAGCAGGCUCCUUGGAUGCAAGAGCACAAACACCUCAGUGUGAAGGUUUCCUCUGGAGAAGGAGAAAAUGCAUUUUAGAAGAAAAUGAGUCUCUGAUCUCAGGAUUUGUCUGAUCUCUCACGAUUGGGAUGGCCCAUUCCUAGAGGGGGAGAAGACCUGGAAAACACUGCUAGACCAACUCAAAAUUACAAAGUUUUCCAGAGCUUAUAUGUCUUCUAAGCCAUAUGUCUAUGUCUGCAGGAAUGUAGACAAUUCAGAGGCUUUGUUCCCCAUAAUUUGGAACUUUUCUUCAGAUUUGACCAAGUCGGGUAGAGAUGAUCAAACCUAAUGGGAAAAAGACUGAAACAACAAAAACAGAAACAGGCAAACACAACCAGACCCCCCCCCAAUCGUAAAGAGAUUAACUAAGAUCUGAAUAGGAAACAUUUGUCAUCUAUUGUCCCUAAGGGCAGCCACCAUAAGACUUCCAGAGAACUUUGGUCUCCACAAUCUUUUAUCUUAACCCGAACAUUCCUUUUCUAUCAAUCCCGGGUCUUUAGGCAAACUCAACCAAUUGUCAACCAGAAGAUGUUUAAAUUCACCUAUAGCCUGGAAGCACACCCCACCCUAUCCCGUUUUUGAGUUGUCCCGCCUUUCUGGACCAAACCAAUGUAUUUCCUAAAUGUAUUUGAUUGAUGUCUCAUGCUUCUCUAAAAUGUAUACAACCAAGCCGUGCCCUGACCACCUGGGGCACAUGUUCUCAGGACCUCCUGAGGGCUGUGUCACAGGCCACGGUCACUCGGCUCAGAAUAAAUCUCUUCAAUUAUGUAAGAGUUCAACUCUUUUUGUCGACAUAUGGUAUGGAUUUGUGUGUAUACUUCUUCCCCAG